rnacentral:lncRNA from 1 species
AAAAGGAUCUCUAUAUCUUGACUGGCCAACGCGCUUCCAGAUAUGCUUGGGAGUGGCAAAGGGUCUGGCGUAUCUUCAUGAGGAAUCUCGAGUCCGCAUUGUCCAUCGAGAUGUCAAGGCCAGUAAUAUUCUGCUUGAUGCAGACCUAAACCCUAAAAUUUCAGAUUUCGGAUUGGCAAAACUUUACGAUGACAAACAGACUCAUAUAAACACUCGUGUUGCAGGCACAAUGUAAGUUCCUCAAAAUUGAAGAUGGUGUAAUAUUCUCACUCCUUUUCUAUAGUUUUGUUUCAUGAGCUCGUUAACAUUUUCUUGUAGAGGGUAUCUUGCACCAGAAUAUGCCAUGCGCGGACAUCUGACAGAGAAGGCAGAUGUGUUUGGCUUUGGAGUUGUAGCUCUAGAGAUAGUCAGUGGUAGAGCAAACUCUGACGAGAGCUUGGAAGAAGACAAGAUCUACCUUCUUGAGUGGGUAAAGUUCUUUCCUUCUUUGCCUUUUUUUAAUGAUCUCUGUUGUCUUUUAAGAGUUUGACUUAUCGCCUUCUCCUGUGGCUCCUACAUUUAUUGUUUAGUUCCAACCAUAUUCAUCGCAUAUCACUGACUCCUGCGUACGCUGCUCUUCUAGGCUUGGCAGCUACAUGAGAACAAGUGCGAAACCGAGCUGGUGGAUGCAAAUCUAUCUGAAUUUGAUGUAGACGAAGUGAAAAAAGUAAUAAUGAUCGCUCUACUAUGCACUCAAACAUCCCCAGGAUUACGGCCUUCAAUGUCCCGUGUAAUAGCAAUGCUUACAGGAGAUGCUGAGGUUGCCGCUGUGACUUCCAGACCUGGAUACCUGACCGACUGGAAAUUUAAAGAUACAACAAGCUUCAUGACCAAUCAUCCUUCGCAAAUGCACAAUUCAUCAGAGGGUACAAGUACAGCCGCCACUACAAAUUAUUCACCAUCAGGUGCUGACACACCGAUCCUCAGCGACAUCAUUGGAGAGGGCAGAUGAAAUCUUUUAUUUUUCAGUCAUCUUCUGUGAAUAAUCUUUUGUUUGCUCAGGGUAUAAUAAAUAGAAGGCUUUUGUGAUGCGUGUUAUUAUGUACUUACUUUGGGUGGUGGUGUUAUUUGUUGGAAGCCUAAAAAACAAAUAAUUAUUGGUAACUCUAUUAUGGAGGCUGAAUUAAUUGUUUUAGCUUCAGUUAGUGAGGAAGCGAAUUGGUUGAGAGAUUUGUUAUUUCAAAUACCUUAUUUUGAAAAAUCAAUUCCUCCUAUAUUAAUUCAUUGUGAUAGUACCGCUGCAAUUGGUAGAGUUCAAAACCGUUAUUACAACGGUAAAUCCAGACCUACGGAGAAAAUACAGUAAUGUGAGAUCAUAUUUGACAAAUAAUAUCAUUAAUGUUGAUUAUGUCAAAUCUUGUGAUAAUCUUGCAGAUCCGUUGACUAAAGUCUUGACGAGAGAAAAAGUCUGGAGCAUAUCGAGGGGAUGGGAUUGAAGCCUAUUGAAUCUUAAAUCCAACCUGGGGACUAGAGAUUCUAUAAUCAGGUUCAAUGGGAAAAAACGAAUCACAUGAUGACUUGUUGCGAAAAAAAUGCACUAUUUAUUUAUUUAGCUUUCCCUAUAAUGUGCGUGCAUUUGCAUGUAAUGAUUGUGAGGUUGAGUUUAUUAAACUCUUAAUGAAUAUCUACAGCUCGUAUGAGUGGGGUGCUAAAAUUACAGGAGUACUCUCGACGGAUUUCACUUAUGUGAGUGUGGAGGUAGGCCGCUUACUAUGAGAAUUAGGCUCAUUCUCAAAAGACACUCAUUAAAAUCGGGAUAGCACACGGCCGUAAUGUGCUGACUAUAAAGCUCGUAUCAACACCUUGACUAUUAUGUGUAAGCAGUAACUUUUUUAUUUUUCCUUUAGUAGUCAUAGUUCAAGUCUGAGACUACUACGACUCUGAGUAAAAAUUAGAAAAAAAUACAUAAAGUAGAAUACUUAAGUAUUAAACUACAAAAAAUAGUAACACUUUUAUCAAAUUACAUUUUAUAGCAUAUGUAUUUGUAUCCUGGAGGGGACAAGUCAAAGAGUAUUACUGUUGGACGGUGAAACAAUUGUUGCAGUGGGCUUGAAUCUCCUUAAAGAGAGCGAGAUAUCCGCGCCUUAGCUAUAGAAAAAGAAAAUAAUAUUUUUCUUUAUUCAUUUGUAAUUUUCAGUUGUAAUAUUAUUGCAAUUUAUUGUAAAAUUUCACCAACCCUACUAAACUUCCAAAAUUCAAUAAUUCGACUAUGAUCUAAAUAACAAUCCUCAAAUCUAUCGGCUAUUUGUGCAUUUGUCUCAUAAUUUUUCCAAAUAAGUUUAAUUUUUAAAUGAUAUGAAUCGAAUGGGUCAAAAUAAUUUGAGUUGCCAAACUAGUGGAUCAUUAACUCACAAAAACAUGAAAUGGGUGGACAAAUUAUGAGAUCUUUGGUCAAUUUUAUCACACGAGUACGCGCCGUUACGUUAACAAAAAAACAAAGUAAUAAGUUGAAGUUUGAACUUAUGUUAGUUAUAAAUAAUGUGAACAAAGAUGCUACGUAUAUCUUCGACUAUUUCCCAAUUUAGAAUUUUGGUGUACUAUUAAUUAAUUAUUCUACGCUCUCCUGCACACCAACUCUGAGUUAUAUUAAUUUGAAUGUUGAAACAUAGCUGAAUAAUAUUGGUGUCUACCCAUAUGAAAUAGUAUUCUGCGUCCCAUUUUUUGACUUUGUAUUCUAAGUUAAAAUUCAAUUCAAUGGCUAUUGCUCUAUCAAUCUUUUACGACUUUAUCAUAUUACUCAUUUGAUAUCAGCCUUUAAGUUCCCACGUGUUAAUUUGUCCUUGGUUCUUGAUUUUCCUCCAUCUUUUUAUUAGUUCAAUAAUAUUCAUCAUUAAUCAGAGGUCGAGGUCGACCCUGGUUAUGGAGAAAAUUUUGUUGGGACCGCUACCUCGAAUGGGGCCCUAUCCGGAGCGAAUUCGAAUUAGUCGGGCUCCAAUGCGGGUACCAAACACCGGAUAGAAAACCAAAAAAAGAUAAUAUUUAUAAUACUUCUAUCUCUUCGUUUCAUUCUAGUUGAUCCUUAUUGACUUAGCAUUCCCCUUAAGAAAAUAUUUGAUAAAAACUUAUUUUAGUAAUGUAACCCUAUUAAUUAAGUAUUGAAAAUAUAAAUUUGAAUAUAUAGACUUUACAAAGUCAUUUAAUGAUAGAGAUAAUAUUGAAAGAGUAUAAUAAAUUUCUCUUGAUUUUAGAAAUGAACAACUAAAAUAAAAUAAAUAUUUUUAAUAAAAGGAUCAAUUAAUAUGAAACGAAUGGAGUGGAUGAAUUUAUUACAGAUUAAGGAAAUAAGUUGGAUUGAAUGAAUCUUGUCGUAAUAAAAAUUCAAAACUACCAAAAGUCUUCAUGUGUAUUUACUUUUUAUAAAUGGGUGAUAUGUACAUAUACUCUCCUCAAAAUUCAAUUUAAUUAAUAUUCGAAGUUAAAUUAAUUCAAUAAUUUGAAUAUAUAAAUGUUAUAAAAAAAUAUGAUAAAUUGAAAAGAUUUGUGUGUUAAUAUGCUGGUAGUUGCAUUUUAAAGUAUUAAUCAAAAUUUACAUAAUUUAAAGCUCGACAAGAAAAAGAAGAACAAAUAAUGUGGUACAGAGUGAGAAAGAAGCAAUAAGGAUAUUGGUCGAUCAUUAUUAUAUCCUAGUUACGUUAUUAGUAGAUUAGAACCACAAACAUCAAUAUCAGAAAUAUAGGGAUAAGUUAUUUCAUUUGACAUUUUUUUCCUGGGGUGGGACGUACUCAUCAAUAUUGAUAUGGACAAAUAAUAGUACUUGGUAAUAUAAGACAGUUCAUGUAUUAUUAAACUUAGGAAAUAAAGACAGAAAAAAGGGAAACUUCAAUAAGAAAGAAAGUAUCAAAGAAUACGUGAAUACGUAAUGAAUUUAGUAAAUUUCUUGAUCAAGUUAGUUAUAACUUAAUAAAUGAUUAUUUGAGAGAUUAUUAUAUAAUACUAGUAAUUAGUAGUGGGGAGAAAAUUAAUGUAAUCAUACGAAAGUUCGCUUAAUGUGCUCCUUUAAUUUAAGGCAAAAUGACAUUCUGAACCCCUUUACUAUGUCAGUUUUGUAAGUUGGAUACUUCUAUUUACAUAUUUGUCAUCUGAACCAUUGAACCCAUUAAAAAGUAACAUUUUAAAUCCUUUUUUGGUGAGUGUAACACACUCUCCCCCACGUCAGCUGUCAUGUCAGCUGUCACGCCUGCCACGUCUGCCACAUCAUUUAAAAAAAAAUAUUACAUUAAAUUUCAAGUCAUUUUAAAAUGCUACAUAAGAAAUUAAAUAUUAAAAUUAAUUUAAUUAAAUAAGAAAAAUUUAUAAAUUGUAGAAAAAUUUGAAUAAUCCUAUUUUUAUUUUUGCUCACAAAUUAAACAUCAAAUCCAUUCCAAAUAAUUAAAAUUCUUCUCCAACUAAUUUAAAUUUUUAACUAUAAAUUCAUAUACAAACAUAAUAAAUUUUUGAUUUCUAAAUUUGAAUAUUUUUAACAAAUUCACAAAAAGUUUAUUAUUUUUCAAGCGAAAUUCACUAAUUUUUUUCAUAUUCACUAUCACUCAUUUUCAAUUUAAAUUUAAAUUUUAAUCAACAAAAAAAUAAAAAGAUUUCAAAUUUAAAUUUUAAUUAAAAAAUAAAAAGAAUUGAAUUGAGAGGGAAAAUUAAAAUAAAAAAUAAAAAGUGANNNNNNNNNNNNNNNNNNNNNNNNNNNNNNNNNNNNNNNNNNNNNNNNNNNNNNNNNNNNNNNNNNNNNNNNNNNNNNNNNNNNNNNNNNNNNNNNNNNNNNNNNNNNNNNNNNNNNNNNNNNNNNNNNNNNNNNNNNNNNNNNNNNNNNNNNNNNNNNNNNNNNNNNNNNNNNNNNNNNNNNNNNNNNNNNNNNNNNNNNNNNNNNNNNNNNNNNNNNNNNNNNNNNNNNNNNNNNNNNNNNNNNNNNNNNNNNNNNNNNNNNNNNNNNNNNNNNNNNNNNNNNNNNNNNNNNNNNNNNNNNNNNNNNNNNNNNNNNNNNNNNNNNNNNNNNNNNNNNNNNNNNNNNNNNNNNNNNNNNNNNNNNNNNNNNNNNNNNNNNNNNNNNNNNNNNNNNNNNNNNNNNNNNNNNNNNNNNNNNNNNNNNNNNNNNNNNNNNNNNNNNNNNNNNNNNNNNNNNNNNNNNNNNNNNNNNNNNNNNNNNNNNNNNNNNNNNNNNNNNNNNNNNNNNNNNNNNNNNNNNNNNNNNNNNNNNNNNNNNNNNNNNNNNNNNNNNNNNNNNNNNNNNNNNNNNNNNNNNNNNNNNNNNNNNNNNNNNNNNNNNNNNNNNNNNNNNNNNNNNNNNNNNNNNNNNNNNNNNNNNNNNNNNNNNNNNNNNNNNNNNNNNNNNNNNNNNNNNNNNNNNNNNNNNNNNNNNNNNNNNNNNNNNNNNNNNNNNNNNNNNNNNNNNNNNNNNNNNNNNNNNNNNNNNNNNNNNNNNNNNNNNNNNNNNNNNNNNNNNNNNNNNNNNNNNNNNNNNNNNNNNNNNNNNNNNNNNNNNNNNNNNNNNNNNNNNNNNNNNNNNNNNNNNNNNNNNNNNNNNNNNNNNNNNNNNNNNNNNNNNNNNNNNNNNNNNNNNNNNNNNNNNNNNNNNNNNNNNNNNNNNNNNNNNNNNNNNNNNNNNNNNNNNNNNNNNNNNNNNNNNNNNNNNNNNNNNNNNNNNNNNNNNNNNNNNNNNNNNNNNNNNNNNNNNNNNNNNNNNNNNNNNNNNNNNNNNNNNNNNNNNNNNNNNNNNNNNNNNNNNNNNNNNNNNNNNNNNNNNNNNNNNNNNNNNNNNNNNNNNNNNNNNNNNNNNNNNNNNNNNNNNNNNNNNNNNNNNNNNNNNNNNNNNNNNNNNNNNNNNNNNNNNNNNNNNNNNNNNNNNNNNNNNNNNNNNNNNNNNNNNNNNNNNNNNNNNNNNNNNNNNNNNNNNNNNNNNNNNNNNNNNNNNNNNNNNNNNNNNNNNNNNNNNNNNNNNNNNNNNNNNNNNNNNNNNNNNNNNNNNNNNNNNNNNNNNNNNNNNNNNNNNNNNNNNNNNNNGGAAAAAAAUAUUUUUAUUUUUGUAAAUUUUUUAAAAAUAUUUUUAAAUUUUUAAAACAUUUUUAAAGAUAUUUUUAAAUUUAAAAAGCUGAAGAGAAAAAAAGUUCCCUUUUUUUAUAUAAAAAAAAAACUAUUUUUUAUUUUUUAAAAUUAUUUUAAUGUAAAAUUUGUCAAAAAUUGACCCCACUCGCACCUCAGGCGAGUGGCUACACUCUCUUUGUCCUUGCCACCAUGACCUUGCCACAUAGACAAGAUCAACGGUCAAAGAGUGCAAAUGUUGCUUUUUGAUAGGUUCAAGGGUCGACAAACAUGUAAAUAGAAGUGUUCAACUUAUAAAACCGACAUAAUACAGGGGUCCAAAAGAUCAUUUUGUCAUAAUUUAAUCAAAGGGGUAAUCAACAAAUGGACUCAAGUAAGUGGGGCAAUAACCCGAUCAAAAGAAAUAGUCGUUGAGCUAAAAAUAAAAAUAUUCAUUCAACACUCUUAAUUUUUGUUAAAUUUAAAUUCAUAAUUUAUUUUAAAUACCUAAUAAAACUCUUUUUUCUUUUAUUGACUAUAUAUAUAACAUAAUCAACAAAAAAAAUGGCUUUUGAAUCACUUAAAAAAGGAUUGUCCUUUUUAAUGAUAUGAUAUUAAGAAAAUGCAACAUUCUAAUAUAUAGAAGAGGCUUGGAAACAAGAGGCGGUUCUCCGUGAUUUUAUCAUAUCAUUUUUAGUUAAUUCUUAUAUGUCAUUUAGGUAUUAAAAAAAUAAUAAUAUUUAACAAAAAUAUAAAAUAGAUAUUUAUGACAUGUCUGGUUCAGCUGCUUCAAUCGUAAUUUUACUAUUUCAUCCCUAAUUAAUUACUUUAGGUCAUUUAAGUACUAAGCCGUGAUUUUACUAUAUCACUCCUAAUUAAUUAUUAUAUGUCAUUUAAGUAUUAAAAAUUAAUAAUAUUUAACAAAAAAUAAAAUACAUAUUUAUGACAUGUCUGCUUCAGUUGCUUCAACCGUAAUUUUAUUAGUUCAUCCCUAAUCAAUUACUAUAAGUCAUUUAAGUAUUAAAAAAAUUAAUAAUAUUUAAUAAAAAAAUAAAAUAAACAAAAAGAUUGAUAAACAAACUAUUGAAGUUUUAAAUUAAUUUAAUAUCUUAUAUAAGGCCUGUCUAAAUUUUUUUUCACAACUAUUUUUUAUAUUAAUAUUGUUAUACCACUUCUAAUAAGUUAUUUCCUAAUUGAUUAUUAUGUGUCAUUUACGUAUUAAAAAAUUAAUAAUAUUUGAUUAAAAAAAAAAGUAAAAUAGAUAUUUAUGACAUAUUUGUUUCAGUUGUUUCAACCGUAAUUUUACUAUUUUAUCCCUAAUUAAUUAUUAUGAGUCAAUUAAAUAUUAAAAAAAUAUUUAAUAAAAAAUAAAAUAAACAAAAAAAGCUAAAUUAAUUAUUGAUGUUUUAAAUUAACUUGACAUCUUAUAUGAAAUUUUUUAUAGUAAUUUUAUUGUAUCACUUCUAAUAAGUUAUUAUGAGUCAUUUAAGACAUGUCUACUUCGGGACUUCAAUAGUGAUAUUUGAUUGACUCUCGAAAUUAUAUCAGUGUCAUUUAAAUUGAAAUAGAAGAAAAAGUAUUAUAAAGUUCAGUAAUUAAAAACUUAAAUUAUUCUCAAAAUAUAAUAUACUAUCAAUGCUAUAAAACUUUGGACAAGGAGAGUAUUAUAAAUUAUAAUGGCUAACAAUUUAAAAUAGUAAAUUAUAAUGUCAAAAAACUAUUAUAAAUUACGAUAUCUAACAACUUAAAAUAUUUAAAAGAUAAUUAAUUAUCAAAAUUUUAUUUGUAUCAUAUAAAUUGAGAUUAAAAAAUAACAUAUAUUGGACCCGUGUUAGCACGGACCUUCGAUAUCUAAGUAUAUAUAUAGGUCGCAUGGCACAGUUGCAUGUUUAGCUAGUAUGACGAAUUGACGACAACAUAACAUACGUAUGUCGCGUAUACACCAAGUCACCUAACUAAUUAACUUACUAUUUUAUAUUCAUUAAAGCAUUAGCAACUAGCUAGCUAGCUUAUUCGAUCUCUUAGUCAACCAUUGACAAAGUGAAGUUAUAUACUAUAAAGUUUCAUAUUACAACCACGUUAUAUUGUUUGUUAAUCUCAUCUAUCUUGGGAGUUGGUACUUGGUAACUAGUCCAACUGCCCCUCUCCCUCUCUCCCUCUCUCCCUCUUGUGUCCUACCUAUCAAAAACUUCCUUUCUCUGCUUCUUACUGUUCAAAGAUUCAUAAUCAAGUAUAUCCCAACCUCAAAUUAUGGUUAAUCAUGUCUUGUUAGAGCCUGGGUGUUACACUAUUAAUUAAUUCACUUUUCAAGUUUGGGGUGAGUCGUAGCCGGUAGCUAGGUGUGCUUUCGGUUAAUUAGAUAGUGUAUCGUACUACUUUGUGAUGCCUUAUUUUUGUUAUUUUCAUAUUUUAUUACAAACUUAUUCACUGUCUCUGUUUCUUGAGUCAGGGGUCUAUCGGAAAUAAUCUCUAAACUUCUUUUAAAAUAAUGAUAUGAACUGCGUAGAUUUUAUCCUUCCAAGACCCCAUUAGAUGAGAAAUCACUGAUGUUGUUGUUGUUCAAGUUUUCUAUACAUUUUACCCUUCAAAACCCCAUUAGAUGAGAAAUCACUGGUGUCGUUGUUCAAGUUUUCUACCAGACCACAACCCAUUCAUUUUCUCAAAAAGACUCACUCCUUUGAAAUAAAAAAUUAUGUAAUGUAACUGCUGAAUCCUUUCAACUAUUAAUACGAUAAUUUAUUCCCACUUGUCGUUUGGUGCUCACCUGAUGUGAUACUCUUUUUUCACUUUAUGCUCAAUUAACAAAUAGUUUUUUUUUCUUUUUUUUUUUUGACAAUUAGAACACUUUAUUAAUUAUCAAAUGAGAUAUUCACAAAACUAAGAGGGAGAAAAUUAUUAUAUUAAAAUUACAAAUUAAUGUAAGAAUAUAUGUUAGUAAUACUAAAUAAAUAAAUAUGAAUAUAUCAUAAAAAUCAUUCAAAGUUAAAAAGAUGUGAGAUAUAAAGAAAAUGACAAAGUUAGUUUCCCCUGGGGGCAAAAAUAGUAGUAGCAGUAUUAAAAAAAUAAUAGUGCGGAGUUAGUUGUACUGGAGUGGAUAACGACGGCUCUGUUAGCUGGCGAAGACUUCAACUUUUGAGUUAUAGUAUACGUACGUAAAUAGUAAUAUAAUUGGGUUUUUAAUUAUCAGGCAAUAUAAUUAUUUAUAUGCGAUAAAUUUUCACUACGAGUACAAUGACAACAACAACAACAAACCCAGUGUAUUCCCAUCUAAUGGGGUCUGGGGGGUAAGAUGUACGCAGUCCAUACCUCUACCUCUAAAGAAGUAAAAAGACUGUUUCCGACGAGUACAAUGACAAUAUAAAUGAUUUUUAUAGAUGUGCAAUUUAUCUAAUGGGGGAUCUUAAAUAUUUUUAUUUAUAUAAGGAAUUCAAGAAAGGUCAUUUUUGUUGUAAAUGAGAAUAAGCACAUGAGACUGCCACGUAGGACUUCUAGAAAGUUGAUUCCUCCUAAACGACUUGGAGAUUAUGUUUGGAAAGGGGCAAGUUCCUGUGAAGAAGGGUAAAAUUGGCAAACAAGAAAGCAUAAAACAUCAUGAGUAGAGCAGUGUAUUAACAGAUAAUAUAUGCCACCUCAGUUUGUUAUUACCUUAAGAUAUUAUAGCUAUCCAGAUAUACUCAAUUAUGGUAGUUAGUUAUGUGUUAUAUUUAGGAGUCUCAUAGUUUCCUGUAUUUUAAGUGUUUCUGGUUCUUUGUAUGUAUCACAUAGUUUGUAUCUGCUCUAUAAAGAGUUGUUGUACAUGAAUGACAUUAUCUUUUCUCCUCUGCAUCUCAAACCUUUAUAUGGUAUCAAGAGCUUUUUUUCUUCUCACGAAGUUCUAAGUUUUUUUUUUAACCAACCAUCAGAAAUGACUCUCUCUGUUACCAACUUUGAUGCAACCAACUCCACCAAUAUUGUUCAAUUCAACCCGGUUACCCAAUUUCCGAUUAAAAUUGCUGGCAGCCAUAAUUUUUCUCUCUGGAAGGUACAAGUAUCCAUGCUCAUGAGAGGACACAAUCUUUACGGACAUCUAGAUGGGACUAUCCCUACUCCUGCCGUGACCACCACCACAACUAACCAGACAAUUAACAACCCCGAUUACGUUAAUUGGUUUCGUCAGGACCAAUUGAUCCAGAAUGCAAUUUUAGCAUCCAUAGAUGCAACUCUUGCUGCCACUGCAACCACUGCCAAAGCAGCCUGGGAUUCCCUCCAUACUGCUUAUGCCAAUAAGUCACAAACUCGCAUUUUCAGCUUGCGAGAUCGCCUAGCUCGUCUUACAAAAGAGAGUCUUCUAGUGAUGGACUAUCUCAACCAAGUUCGAUCUCUCUGUGAUGAGUUUUCCACUGCAGGAGCUCCUGUCACAAACGACGAACUCAUUGUCAAGAUUCUCACUGGUCUUGGACCAAAAUAUCGAGAAAUCUCAGCAGCAAUUUGUCACCCCAAUUUCAUAUGCCGAACUGUUUGAAAAGCUUAUUGAUCAUGAGCUUUUCCUCAAACACAAUGCUUCACCUCGCUCCACCACAAUUAUUGUUGCGGUUGCUCAGAAAUCCAACUCUCAAAUAAGGACCAACGUUACCAACAACAACGUUUUCAGCCAGGGCGUAAUCGUCGCCCCAAUCCGCAAGAAGUCAGCUUAGUGUGUCAGUUAUGUGACCGACCUGGACACUCUGCUCGCCUUUGUCGCUCUCAGUCUCACAAUCAUUUUCAGGCUCAGGCCAACUUUGCUAAACAAAAAAAGCAGCAAUUAACCUCAUGGAUAGUUGAUUCAGGGGCUACACACUAUGUUGCAUCGGAUACCCAAAGUCUCACCAACAUAACUGACUACAAUGAGUUGGAAGAAAUCACUAUAGGAAAUGGUAACACCAUACCAAUUUCUCACACUGGUAACACUGACUUAUCUGCAUCUAAUUCUAGAUUUCAAUUAUCCAAUAUAAUUUGCUCCCCUUCAAUUGCCAAUAACUUGAUUUCAGUUUCUCAAUUUUGUCGUGAUAAUAAAACAUCUAUUGAAUUCUUUCCAUUCUUUUAUCUUGUGAAGGAUCUGAGUACAGAGGCGCCGCUAGUUCAAGGGCGGAGUAGAGGACGCCUUUAUGAGUGGCCGCUAGAAAAUGCUUCUUCUUCUCAACCACAAUGCAAUGUGGUUGUGUCUUUAGAUCUGUGGCAUCGACACUUGGGGCAUCCACCACGCCGUACUCUAGAUAUAUUUUUGAAUAAAUUUUCCAUUCCUGUUAAGAAAGGCUCUCUUUCUAUUUGUAAUUCAUGCCAAUCAAAUAAAAGCCACAGACAAUCUUUUUCUACGAAUUCCUUGUAGAGCCACAAGCCUCUACAAAUUAUUUACAGUGAUGUGUGGGGUUUGUCACCUGUCUUGUCCGUUGAUAGAAAAAGAUAUUAUGUUUUGUUUGUUGAUCAAUUUUCCAUAUACAUGUGGCUCCACACGAUUCAAGCCAAACACGAGGUUUUAGAUGUUUUCAAAACACUACAACCAUUAGCAGAACGCCCAUUUCAAACAAAAAUAUUAUCUUUUAAUACUGACGGAGGAGUUGAAUUUCAGAGUUUAACUUCUUAUUUGAAAUCACAGGGCAUUGAACACUUAAUUUCUCCACCUUAUACUCCAUAACGAGUUGCUAUAGUAGAAAGAUGACAUCGACAUAUUGUCGAGACUGCAAACACUCUAAUACCAAGCUUCUUUACCAGCCACCUUUUGGAGUUUUACAUGUCAUCAAGCAGUUUUUCUCAUAAACAGAAUGACAACUCCAAAUCUAAAAGAUAAGUGUCCAUACGAGCUUUUAUUUCAAAAAUCAUCAAAUUAUGACAACGUCAAAAUUUUAGGUUGUUUAUGUUAUCCAUGGAUGAAACGUAUGCACAAAAUAAGUUUGAUUCAAAAUCAAAGCCCUGUGUCUAUCUAGGAUUUUCAAACAAACAUUAUUGCCAUCAAUGCUUUGACCCGACCACCUUCAAAGUCUAUCUUUGGAGAGACGUAGUAUUUUUUGAAACUAGUUAUCCUUUUACUAAUAUUUUUUCUAAUUAUAAAAAUCAUAAUUAGAAAAUUUCUUGGGAUGAGUUAUCUCCUUCAAAAGAGAUAGAAAUUGAUAUCUCAACAAAGCCACAUUGUUUUGAACUACCUCAGCCAUUGUCUAUAGGCGCACAAAGGUCUCUCUGCGUUCCUUCUACAGCGGCGUCGCCAAGCUCAAGUACUUCUCCAUCUUUUCCCAACAAUCCAGCAAGCAACCCUUUUCCCUGUUCAACGGUAUUAGCUCCUAUUCCCCCUUCUCCAGUAGCAACAAAGAUUCCACCCAUCACCCGCACCUAUAGUCGUCGGAACUUUCAAGUUACUCCAUCCGUCCAAGCUCCUCAGGUUCCACCAACCACUGCCCCUCCACCACAACUAAAACCAGCCACCCUUUCGCACCCAAUGGUUACCCGCUCAAAAAUAAAUAAUCUAAAACCCAAGAAUUUUCUUGCCCAAACCAUUCUUCUGCCACCAAUUCCCCAGUCCUACCGUCAAGCACAACAUAUCCUCAGUGGCAAGAAGUAAUGGAAGCGAAAUAUGAUGCUCUAGUCAGAAACCAAACGUGGGAUUUGAUCCCUAGUGAUCCCUCUCAAAAUGUUGUGGCCUGUAAAUGGUUAUUUAGAAUUAAGCAUAAUCCUGAUGGAAGCAUUGACAGGUACAAGGCUCGCUUAGUAGCCAAAGUCUUCACUCAAAGACCCGGGUUAGAUUAUCAUUGCACAUUUAGCCUUGUUGUCAGACCUGCAACAAUAUGCUUGGUCCUUGCAAUUGCUGCCCAGCGUUCCUGCCUAUUCAUCAGCUAGAUGUCAAUAAUGCAUUCUUACAAGGUAGACUUGAAGAGGAAGUGUACAUGAAACAACCUCCUGGUUUUGAGUCCUUUCAAAAUUCUACUUACAUUUGCAAGCUCAAAAAGGCCAUAUACGGACUGAAGCAGGCUCCUAGGGUAUGGUACACUGAGCUCAACAACUUCUUGACAAAUAUUGGAUUUGUUAAAUCAAAAUUUGACUUAUCUUUGUUUAUCCUCCAUAAUUUUGGUGUUACUGUCUACAUUUUUAUAUAUGUUGAUGACAUAAUCAUUACAGGCAGCACUCAGGAAAGUAUCAUGUCCAUCAUUAAAUCACUUUCUCAGUGAUUCUCUCUCAAAGAUCUUGGGCUCUUGCAUUAUUUUUUGGGUGUUGAGGUAAUAUCCACGCCAACUGCCAUAUACUUGUCCCAACACAAAUAUAUCAUGGAUCUUCUAGAUGAAUUACAUAUGGAUAACUGCAAGGGUAUUCCAAUGCCAAUGUCAUCAACCUGCCCCUUUAUUGACUCAGAGAUCGAUUCAACCGUUGAUGUUUCACUUUACCGAUGAAUCAUUGGUAAGAUUCACUACCUAUCCUUCACCAGGCCUGACAUCGGAUUUGCUGUGAGCAAGUUGUCUCAGUUCAUGCAUAAUCCCAAAGAGUCUCAUUGGAAGGCUACCAAACGCUUGUUGCGCUACUUGAAGCAAACAAGCAUAUUGGGGGUCCAGUUAAGUCGACAAUCAAUAGAUCAUUUACUUGCGUAUUCUUACUAUGAUUGGGCUAGUUCCAUUCACCCCUAACUUUUGGGGGCGUAUUAACAGAUAAUAUAUGCCACCUUAGUUUGUUAUUACCUUAAGAUAUUAUAGCUAUCUAGAUAUACUCAAUUAUGGUAGUUAGUUAUGUGUUAUAUUUAGAGUCUCAUAGUUUCCUGUAUUUUAAGUGUUUCUGCUUCUUUAUACUUAUCACAUAGUUUGUAUCCGCUCUAUAAAGAGCUGUUGUUGUACGUGAAUAACAUUCAUCUUUUCUCCUCUGCAUCUCAAACCUUUAUACAGUGCACAACAGGCAAUUUAAUUUUUAUGAACAGACUCUCUUUCUCUCUAAUUCCUUUGAUUUCCUCUCCUCCUUCUUAUAUCAUUAGUUAAUUUUUAGCAGCAAAUUUCCUUGUAUUUUCUGAUUUAGAGACUUAAAUAGAAGAGCUACUGCUGUAAGUUGAGUUGGGGCUUAGUAAUACAAGUGUUGUUACUAAUUGUUGUACCUACUCGUUUCAUUGGUGCUUUCAUCCAGAGCUCUUCCACGGAUGAACAAAAACUUAAAUUAAUUGUUGAAGAAUCAGUUCAGGGUAUGAAGGAGUCAAUUCUCGCAGAUGUGCGUUCUUUGUUAAUAGAAGUGGUGGGAAGCAAAACCUAGCGCCCAGAGAGGGAUGCAUAUGAUGACCUCACUUCUGUCACAAGCCAGCUUCAAUGGAAUUUGGUCGAUUCCGUAGGGAAAAUCCAGAGGCUUGGAUCUUCCAAGCGGAGAGAUAUUUUGAUUUUUAUAGGAUUGCAGAAGCCCAACGUUUGUCACUUGCUUCUUUUUAUUUGGAUGGAGAUGCAUUAGAGUAGUAUAGUGAUGCACUCAAAAAAAGAUUUAUUCAAUUUCAGGAGGAAACCUCGAGAAAAAGGGAAAACUGACUCAGGGAUUUAAUCCGAGAUGACAGUUAAUAAAUGAGAGUUUGAAAGAAUAAGAGAGUGAACCGUAUUGAUAUGAUCAGUAAUGAGUAUGUGUAUCUUACAUUGCAGCUUAUAUACUGAAAUUGGAAUGGAAUUACUACUAACUACCUUAACAGAAAAAUGGAAAUAACUGUCAUUGCUACAGUGUUAGCAGUUACACUAAUAACAGAAUUCAAACUGUAACUGCCUAGCUAUUUUACUGUUUGCCUACUUAAUUCCUUGAUUGCCAGCUUAUCUCAUCAGCUUCAUACACGAAUUGAACACCAUGAACUUGCAUCAAUACCCCCUCUAAAGAACAUUCUUGACCUCAAGAAUGAAAGGAAGGAAAUCUGGUUUGAACCUCAGACAAGAAUUCCCAUGUAGCCUGUGCAACGUCUAUAUCAGUCCACUUGAUGAGAACUUGAGUGGUAGCCUUGUUACCCUUCUUGACCAUUCUUCUAUCAAGAAUAGCCUCAGGUAAAGGAUAGUGAGGACUUGAGAGGUGGAGAAUAGGAGGAUGAGAAAUGCUACUAGGCACAACAUGACACCUUUUCAACUGUAACACAUGGAAUGCGGGAUGAAUAAGUACAUCAGAAUGAAGCAAAAGUCUAUAAGCAACAGCUCCAAACUUAGCCUCAACUACAUAGGGUCCAUAACACUUGGCUACUAGCUUGUUAAAAGUCCUAGAGACAACUGAAACUUGCCUAUAAGGAUGCAAUUUCAAAUAUACCCAGUCACCAACUUCAAAGGACCUAUCAGAUCUAUGUUUAUCAGCCACGUCUUUCAUUCUUUGUUGAGCUCUAGCAAUGUGAAACUUGAUUAACUGGAUGAUAGCCUCUCUAGCUGCAAGAUCUCUGUCCACCAUCUCAACUGCACUUUCUCCAACCAGGUAGGGCAAAUGCACAAGAGGUUUCUGCCCAUAAAGCACCUCAUAAGGAGUGCGUUUGAUAGUGGAAUGGUAGGUAGUAUUAUACCACCAUUCAGCUAGUAGUAAAUAAGUAAUCCAAUCCUUGGGAAAAUCUAAAAAAAAAACACCUCAAGUAAGUUUCCAAGGUUCUGUUUACCAUUUCAUUUUGGCCAUCUAUUUGAGGAUGAUAAGCUGUUGAUCUUUGGAGGUGCACACCUUGAAGUGUGAACAAUUUUUGCCAAAAAGAACUCAAAAAUAUAGGAUCUCUAUCACUCGUCAUAGUAACAGGCAUUCCAUGUAGUUUAAAAACUCCAUCUAAGAAACUUUUAGCUACUGACUGAGCUGUAUAUAGAUGCUGCAAACUCAAGAAAUAAGCAUACUUACUCAAUCUAUCCACCACUACUAAUAUAACAUCUUUUCCCUGGGACUUUGGAAAGCCUUCUAUAAAGUUAAGACAUAUAUCAGUCCAAACACCUCCAGGUAUAGGGAGGGGCUGAAGAUAACUUGGAGAAGCUGCAACAUCAAACUUGUGUCUUUGGCAAAUGUCACACUGGUUAAUAAAAAUUCUAACAUCUAAGAUGAGUGAUUUACAAUGAAAUAAUGAUUGUAACCUCCAAAUGGUAGCAUCCAUACCAGAAUGUCCCCCUUAAGGACUGCUAUGCCAAAGUUCGAUAAUAGUUCUUCGGAGUUGUGGAUCAUCUCCCACACUAGUCUACCCUUCCACCUUAAUUGAUCAUUGCACCAAGUGUAUGACUUGAAGUUUUGAGUCUGCAGUUUCUCAAUCACCAACUGUAAUGUAGAAUCAGUACUUCAAGACUCCUCAAUUUUGUUAUACAAAUCAUCAUGUGGUGUGAGUAAGGAUAUGGCUAAAACUUCUGCAUCAGGCAUUCUAGAAAGACCAUCUGCGGCCUUAUUCUCUAAACCUUUUUUAUAUUUAAUUGAGAAGUAAAAAGCCAUUAAUUUUGAGAUACAUGCCACUUGGAAGUCUGUAUGAAUCUGCUGCUCUAAGAGGUGUUUCAAGGCUUUUUGGGCAGUUUUCACAAUAAAGUGAGUAUUCAAUAAGUAAUGUGACCAUCUUAUAACAGCAAGGAGAAGUGCUAAAAGCUUUGUGUCUUAAACAGAUAGAAUCUGAUGUUUGGGAGCCAAUGAUUUGCUUAUAUAAGCAAUAGGAUGUCCCAACUGCAUUAGAACAACACCAAUUCCUUUUCCGCUAGCAUCAGUUUCAACAAUAAAGAUCUGAGAGUAGUUAGGCAAUGCUAAGAUAGGUGCAGAAAUCAAGGCUUGCUUCAAGGUCUGGAAAGCUUGUGUAGCUAGAUUUGACCAAUCGAACCCUUCCUUCUUUAAUAGGUCAUGAAGUGGUCUGCAAAUUGUCCCAAAUCCUUUUAUGAACCUUCUAUAAUAACCAGCCAAUCCUAGAAAUCCUCUCAAUUGUUUGACAUUGAUAGGAAUGGGCCAAUUUUGCACAACUGAGAUUUUUUUCUGGUCAGUUGAAACACCAGCAGUACUAAUAUAAUAUCCCAGAUAUUCAACCCUUUCCACUCUAAAAACACACUUAGACAUUUUAGCAUACAGUUGAUGUUGCUUUAUUAGAACAAACACAGCUUCAACAUGUUGCACAUGAUCAGACAAACUCUUGCUAUAGAUUAAUAUAUCAUAAAAAAAGACCAAGACUGAUUUCCUUAGUAGUGGUUUAAACACAGCAUUCAUGAGGCCUUGAAAUGAUAAAGGAGCAUUGGUUAAGUCAAAUGACAUUACCAAAAACUCAUAGUGCCCUUCAUGAGUCUUGAAGGCUAUUUUGUAUGCAUCUUUUUUUGACAUUAUCAGUUAGUGAUACCCUGCCCUUAAGUCUAUUUUUGAAAAAAUCACAGCUCUUCCUAACUCAUCAAGUAAGUCCUCUAUUAUGGGAAUAGGGAACUUAUCCUUUAUAGUCAUCUGAUUCAAGCUUCUAUAGUCCACACACAACCUCCAACUACCAUCUUUCUUCCCUACCAAGACUACAAGAGAGGCAUAAGGGCUGGUACUGUUCUGAAUCACACCUUGAUCCAGCGUUUCCAGCACUAAUUUUUUUAUAAUAUCCUUCUUGAAUGCAAGAUAUCUAUUGGGUCUUUGAAUAACAGGGUUAGAUGCCUUAAUUAGUAGAAUUUUAUGGUCAAAAACACCUCUGUGAGGUGGUAAUGUAGUUGGCACUUCAAAUAGGCAGGAAUAAUGAUCCAAUAAGGACUUCAAUACUAAUGGUAGAUCAUUACCUUGACUGGCUUGAAUGUUGAAGCACUGAAUAUUCUCUGCAAUAUCUGGUGCUAAGUCAUCAUGAAAAACUGAGAUUCACUCCUUUCUAUCUUCUCCCAUGCCUUGGCUUUAGAAGUUUUGAUCAAGCUAGUUGGUCCUCUUAACAUAUGUUUCUUUCCUUUGUACAAAAACUCAAUAGUUGUAUGCUUGAAAUCAAACAAUAUUCUGCCCAGGGUAUUUAACCACUGCACCUCUAAAACUAUAUCCACAUUACCCAAAGGUAGUAACAAAAAAUCAAAAGCGAAAGUUGUUCCUUGUAAUAACCACUGCAGGUUUUUGCACACAUAAGUAGUCUGCACUUUUCUUCCAUCAGUAACACACACAGACUGCUCAGUUAUAGGCUCCGCCUUGCAUUCUAAUUUCUUGGCCACUUCUUGGUCUAUGAAAUUAUGUGUACUACCAGUAUCAAUCAGGACUUGCAAAGGUCUUUUUUCAUGGUAACCAGUCACCCUCAGAGUCUGAUAACCCGUAACACCAGUAUAAGCUUGAAGUGAAAUUGUCAUGAAUUCAUGAGUGGCAUCCUGAUGUUCUUGCUCUUGGAUUAAUUCCACCUCUUCUACUCUUUCUUCCUCCUCGACUAAAUCUAUCAAACAUAACUAUUUCUUAGCCUUGCAGACAUGCCCCAUAGUAUAUUUUUCAUCACAGAAGAAACAUAAUUCUUUAGACCUCUUCUCAUUUAUUUCAGCAGAAGUUAAUUUUUUUCCUCCAGUAACUGUAUUGUGAUGGUUAUUCUUAUUCUCACCUACAUCAAUAGUCUUCUUGAAUGUUGGAUUUGGUGUGAAAUUCUUCUGAAAAUUGGGAAUCUUAUUGUUAACUGGAGUAGGAAGCAAAGCAACUUGUGGCCUAUUAGCUCUCAGACCCCAUGUUUUAGCUUGUGCCUCAAAAACUUCCUCCUGUAACCUAGAAAUUUUGUAAGCCUGCAUAAGUGUUUUGGGGUUCUGAAUUCUGACUACCUUAUUCAGCUCUAACUUCAAUCCACCCAAGUAACAAUUGAUCUCAUUCUCACUCGACAAGUUUACACCAGUUAAAAGCCUAUCAAACUCUGCUUGAUACUCUCUCACUCCACCCGUUUGCUUUAAAUUCUUUAAGGCUUCCAUGGGAUCUUCAAAAUUAUCCCUAAAUCUUUCAUUAAGGGCAAAAAUGUAUUCAGUCCAAGUAGGUUCUACCACUGAAUUCCUGGACUUAAUAAACGCCUUAUGCCAUGCAAUAGCAUUACCCUCCAAAUGCACAGAUGCAACAUUUACUCUUUGAUUGAAUGGAAUUUCAUCCAUUGAAAAGAGUUGAUCAACCUUGUAUAACCAUGUACGCAAAUCUAACCCCGAAAAUUUUGGAAAUUCUAAUCUAGAAUAUCGAGAGAAGAAAUUACCUCCACGUCCAUUUCCUUCUCUCAUUCUUACUUUCUGCAUAUCAUCAUUGUGCUUUCUUCCUUCUUGAAUUCCGACAUUGGAACCUUCUCCACCAUUGGAAUACUCAGCCUUCUCAUUUUCUUUGGAAUUCAUAGUUCCAACCACUCCUCUAAGUUCUAGUAACACCUUCUUAUUUUGAAGACUACGAUUAUUGAUAUUGGCCAUUCCAUCCAUUAUUUUCUGCAAUUGCUCUUGAAUUUGUUGGAACCUGUCAUCCGUUUCUUCCAUAGGUCGAUCUUGUCUAUCUUGAGUCUUGAUUCUUGCCAUUGACACACCAAGGAGAGAUAGAUUUGAUACCAGUUGGUGCACUCAAAAAAAGAUUUAUUCAAUUUCAGGAGAAAACCUCGAGAAAAAGGGAAAACUGACUCAGGGAUUUAAUCUGAGAUGACAGUUAAUAAAUGAGAGUUUGAAAGAAUAAGAGAGUGAACUGUAUUGAUAUGAUCAGUAAUGAGUAUGUGUAUCUUACAUUGCAGCUUAUAUACUGAAAUUGGAAUGGAAUUACUACUAACUACCUUAACAGAAAAAUGGAAAUAACUGACAUUGCUACAGUGUUAGCAGUUACACUAAUAACAGAAUUCAAACUGUAACUGCCUAGCUAUUUUACUGCUUGCCUACUUUAUUCCUUGAUUUCCAGCUUAUCUCAUCAGCUUCAUACACGAAUUGAACACCAUGAACUUGCAUCAUAUAGGUGGCUUUUCCAGAAUAAACAACUGGUGGAUUGGGAGCACUUUGCGUCGAAGGUGCGGAUUCAUUUCCGUAAAAAAGGAUUAGAGUCUACUGAAGAACGCCUGGCGAAGCUCCGGUAGACAACCAUUGUCGCAGAUUAUUAGGCUAGAUUUGAGGCCAUUGCAAAUGAGACCGACUACAUGGAUGAUGAACGUAUGGUACGUCUCUUUAUUUCUGGGUUUCAUAAAGAUAUUAAGCACUCUGUUUUGGUCCAUAAUACCAAGAGUUAUAAGGAGACACUUAACUUAGUCUAUAUAUACGAGCGACGGAUCCAGGCUGAGAAAGGACCCGUUAGGCUAGCUUUUGCCAGCUUUUGCCAGAACAACCCCCCUCUUGCCUAUCCCAAAUAUUGCACCCCUAAAUCAAAACCCAUCUUUCUCAAGUCGUACUCCUCUCAAACGACUCACUCAUGCAGAGCUCCAAAGUCGCCGUGAACGCGAGCUAUGUUAUUAUUAUGAGGAGAAGUACUCAUCGGGAGACCAAUGUGACAAACCCCCACUGUUACUUUUGCUUACUGAUGGAUCAUAUUUGGACCUUAACUUGCUGGAGCCUUUUGUUGCUGAUGAUUUUGUAGCUGAGAAAUCACAAUCUUUAGAAUUACAGGAGUAAUCAUCUAUUUCUUAUCAUGCUUUAACUGGGGGAAUUUCGCCUUCCACAUUAUGGUUUACCGGUCAAGUAAAUGGGUCACCAGUCCAAGUAUUGGUAGAUGGAGGAAGUACUCAUAAUUUUGUGCCACCACGUGCGGCCAAACAUCUUCAGCUCCAAGUAGAGCUCAUUUCUUGUUUUGCAGUCAUGGUAGGAAAUGGACAAAGGCUAUCAUGCAAAGGUAUGGUGAAGCAAGCUCGCUUACUAAUUCAAGGGUGUACUCUAGUCGAGGAUCUUUAUGUCUUACCUUUACAAGGCGUUGAUGUAGUCCUUGGAGUGACAUGUUUGGCCACAUUGGGGCGUGUUGUGACUGAUUAUGCAACAAGAGAAUUUGAAUUUAAUUUACAGGGGUCUAAGUGAUUAUGGAAGGGAGAUUCGCCAACAGAUGCUCAUCAGAUCCAGUUACAUAGCUUAAGGCAUAUGACAUCAACUGAUGCUAUUGCUUCUUUCUUUAUAUUGGCAAUGGUUACUCUUGAAAAGAAUUGUGUAGGUGAAAUGACCUCUGAUUUGAGAGGUAUUUUGGAGUCAUAUGAUGAUGUGUUUCAGAAACCUACAGGAUUGCCAUCUUCUUGUGUUCAAGAUCAUUCAAUGCACCUUAUUCCAGGGGCGCAGCCAGUGAAUGUUAAACCAUACAGGUACCCGUACUUUUAAAAACAGGUCAUGGAGAAGAUGGUGGAAGAAAUGCUUGAGGAGGGACUGAUACGGCCCAGCACUAGUCCAUUUUCAUCGCCGGUGCUAUUAGUGCAUAAGAAGGAUGGAACGUGGCACUUUUGUGUUGAUUAUCGAGUACUCAAUGCCAUCACAGUCCGUGAUCGCUUUUCAAUUCCAACCAUUGAUGAGUUGUUUGAUGAAUUACAUGGUGCUCAAGUCUUUUCGAAAUUGGACUUAUUGUCAAGUUAUUAUCAAAUCAAGGUCAAGCCAGAGGAUGUGUCUAAGACAGCCUUUCGUACUCACGAUAGUCAUUAUGAAUUUUUGGUAAUGCCUUUCGGAUUGACAAACGCCCCUUCAACAUUUCAGGCUACUAUGACUGAAAUUUUGCGUCCUCAUAUGCGUCGCUUUGUUCUGGUUUUCUUUGACGACAUCUUGGUCUAUAGUGCAUCUUGGAGUGAGCAUUUAGAGAAUUUGAUAGUGGUAUUGCAGUUGUUGCGACAAUAUCAGCUAGUGGCCAAAUGCUCAAAGUGUUUGUUUGGUAAAUCUUCUAUUGAUUACCUUGGCCACAUCAUCUCCGCUCAAGGCCUUGGAGUGGAUCCGGACAAGAUCAGUACCAUUAGGCAAUGGCAGACACCACGAUCAGUGAAAGAAGUUCGUAGUUUUUUGGGGCUAGCCGGAUAUUAUCGCAAGUUUAUUCACCAAUAUGCAGCUAUAGCAGGUCCCUUAACUUACUUGUUAUGCAAGGAUUCCUUUAAAUGGACAGAAGUUGAAAAGCAUGCCUUUGAAACCUUGAAAGCUUGGCUAGGCUCCACCCCUGUUUUGGCCUUGCCCAAUUUUAAGCUGGAGUUUCGGGUGGAAACUGAUGCGUCUUGGUGAGGUAUUGGAGCUAUUCUAUUGCAACAAGGCCACCCUAUUGCUUACUUUAGCCAAAAGUUAAGCUUCCCACGGACUCUCCGUUGCGCCAGAAAUUACUCUUUGAAUUCCAUGCUAGUCCUACAGGAGGACAUGUCGGGGUUGCACGCACAUUCCAUCGUUUGGCAUCCAAUUUUUUCUGGAAACAAAUGCGCAAGGACAUACAAACUUUUGUGGCUGCGUGUCAAAUUUGCCAGCAAAUGAAGGAUUCUCACCUGCAUCCUGCUGGGCUAUUACAACCAUUGCUGAUUCCAGAUCAGGUAUUUAAGGAUAUUGCUAUGGACUUCGAUACUUGUCUUCCGAGCUCAAAGGGAAAGACUACAAUCAUGACAGUAGUGGACCGCCUCACUAAGUACGGCCAUUUUAUUCCCUUGCCAUCAACUUUCUCGACUCAUACAGUGGCCGAAGCCUUUGUUGUAGGUAUUAUCAUGCUCCAUGGCCCUCCUCAUUCUAUUGUGACUGACUGUGAUCCGCGAUUCUUACACUCUUUUUGGCAAGAGAUUAACCGCUUGCAGGGAUCCACUUUAGCCAUGAGUACUGCCUAUCAUACUCAAACCGAUGGGCAAUCUGAGGCUCUUAACAAGUGCGUGGAACAAUAUUUGCGUUGCUACAUCGCUGAGGUACCCUCUCAAUGGGUUGCUAUGCUGCCAUGGGCAGAAUUUUGGUACAAUACUUCGUUUCAAACAUCAGCUGGCAUGACCCAUUUUUAAGCUCUCUAUGGUUGUGAACCACCAACUAUUGCUCGAUACAUUUUGGGGAGUACCACAAGUGAACUGGUUGAGUCCUACCUGCUGUAGCGAGAUGAAAUCUUGCAAGUCCUCAAGAACAACUUAUUGAAGGUUCAGAACCGCAUGAAGUUGUUGGCUGAUAAGUCUAGGACUAAUACCGUCCUUGAAGUAGGUGAUUGGACAUAUGUCAAACUCAAACCUUUCAAACAAAUAAUCUACGCUUGCAGCGAGAUCAUAAGCUUGGGAGGCGUUAUUUUGGACCCUAUCAGGUGUUAAAACGCAUUGGCUCUGUUGCUUAUCGGCUGGAACUUCCGGAAUUUGCAAAAAUCCACUCUGUUUUCCAUAUUUCUAUAUUGAAACAUUCUGUUGGCACUCCGGACCAGCAGGUGACUCCUCUGCAUCUGAAUGUUCUGACUACAGAGAAUCCAGCUGACUUCAACCUUGAGGACAAGGUUGCUUUACAGGAAGGGAGUAAUGUUGUAAAUGAGAAUAUGUCUGAUUGGGAUGCCACAUGGGAUGAGCACAUGGGACUGCCACGUAGGACUUCUAGAAAGUUGAUUCCUCCUAAACGACUUGGAGAUUACGUUUGGAAAGGGGCAAGUUCACGUGAAGAAGGGUAAAAUUGGCAAACAAUAAAGCAUAAAGCAUCAUGAGUGGAGCAGUGCACAACAGGCAAUUUGAUUGUUAUGAACAGACUCUCAUUCUCUCUAUUUCCUUUGAUUUCCUCACCUCCUCCUUAUAUCAUUAGUUAAUUUUUAGCAGCAAAUUUCCUUGUAAUUUCUGAUUUAGAGACUUAAAUAGAAGAGCUAUUGCUGUAAGUUGAGUUGGGGCUUAUUAAUACAAGUGUUGUUACUAAUUGCUGUACCUAUUCGUUUCAAUUUUUCUCAAUGUAAAUGGACAAGAGAUUUCAUUAAUAACAAACCUACUUCACUCAAAUUUUGGAAAACUAAAUCAUGCCUGAUUUGAAGAAUUACUUAUUAUUGUAGAUAAAUUUUAUCUUGUUUCUUUUUUCUAGAAAAAUCUAUAUUGCAAUACAUUAGUACAGCAACAAACACCAAUUCCGCAUAGUAAUUUUACUUAGUAGAGUCCGGAGAGGUUGGUGUGUAUGCAUACCCUAUUCGUACUUCGUGAAGGCAGACAUGUUGGUUUCAAUAGAUCCUUGACUCACGUAAAGUAUUUUUAAAAGUAGGUUUGAAAAGAAAUAUGAAUAGUGAAGAAGUCAUAUUGAAAAUAAUGAAGAAAAAAAUGAUGACAACAACAAAAUAAUAUGAGAAUGGGAGGUGACAAUGAACUUUGUUUUUCUAAAGAAAUUGUCAAGUGUUUCUAUACUUUAUAUUAUAUACCCGUGUAUAGCAAGUUUUGAUUUGAGAUCAUUGUUUAUUUAUCAUAUUUGAACAAAAUUUGAAGUUCAAUUUGAAUUUUUGAUUUAACAAUCCCAUAUUUACCGGAAAUAUAGGAUUUCAAUUCAUAUUUGUACUAGCAUUUGUUCAUUGUUGAAGAUUUUUUUAUAUGUUAGUAUCAUCCAUUAGAUUCUCAUGUUGCGAGUUAAUGAUAAUGCAGCCCGUAUAUUGAACUCCAUCUUCCAAAGAUGGCGGAUUUCUGCAACAUAUCGAUGGAAUAUUAGUGGUGAGUUAUGCAGUGGAGCAACCAUUGAUUCAACUUCCAUUGAGGAUUUUAAUCCAGCCAUCAAAUGCGACUGUUCUGCCAACAACCGAACUCUUUGUCAUAUCACUGGCUUGUAAGUCACUCUUUUCCCCUACGCACUGUUCAACAUCUGUUAUAUAUACGCAAAAAAUAGUUUUGUAGUAUAUACGAUGUAUUUGUCUGAUGGAAGGGAUUCAAAUGAACCCGAGAGAGAUUUUUCAAGUGCUUCUUAGAUUUUCUUUAUACAUGUAUGUAGUCCUAGAUGCACGCAUACCUAAUUACUGGUUACAUGUUGAAUUCGUCUCUGCUUUGUAUUUAAAUAUAUUUUAGUAUUGACCACUGUAAAGAAUCUUAAUAGUGCUUCUGCUUGUUCUUCUUGUAUGCAAUUGGAUGUAGUUCGGUGUAUUUACUUACCGUGUAACUUUGACUUCUCUUUCCAAUCGUUCUUUACAGGAGCAUUUAUGCCAUGGACUUCAGGGAUGAAAUUCCAGAUGAAUUAUGGAGUCUUACCUUCCUCGAUGAUCUGUACUUGCUUCCUUUAACUGUAGUUUCAUCCUAUACUUUUCGUGUUUUAUCUCCCAACUACUGAUAUUUUAGUUACAAAUCGCAGGAAUUUGGCCCAAAAUUACUUGACAGGCACACUGUCUCCAUCCAUUGGCAAUUUGACUAGGAUGAAAUGGCUGUAAGUCUACUCUAUUUCAGUUAUUUAUGCACAAUCGUGAUACUUUGAGUGUCGGCAUGCCUGGAAUAAUUUGAAUGUUUGGUGUAUGCAGAUCUGUUGGCACCAAUGCUUUGUCAGGGGAGAUUCAAAGGAACUUGGGUUGUUGACUGAGUUGCAAUCAUUGUAUAUUCUUAUAUUUAUGUCCUUUGGACCCUUGGUUUCAUGAUAUAUCAUCUACCGAUGUAUGAAAGUAUCAAUUUUCAUCGUUUCCUCUUCAUUUGUUCAUCAUUUUUUCCUCGUGUUGCAGAAGUUUUGGCACAAACAACUUCUCCGGGCCUCUACCUUCAGAGCUUGGAGACUUAACAAAACUGACACAAAUGUGAGUUAUGAUGCAUUGAUUUACAUCUUACAAAACUGCUACCACGUCACAUUUUAAUUGUUAGAUUUUUGCAAUUUGCAUGAGAAAUGCGUUAUCUGUUCAUGAACGUGACACAAAAUCUGUAUGCUUUAGAGUUCCAAAGCAUCAUUAAUAAGGUUAGUUUAGUAAAAUACACCUCUAAUUCCGUACAGAUGAUGCCACGCGAAGGCACUUUCCAGGGAGGUGGCUUAUGCUGUUGAAAGCCUAGCUCAUUAAAAAGUAUGCCAGGUGGGCAAGUAAAUAACAACGACAUACCCAAUGUAUUCCCACAAAGUAGGGUUUGGGGAGGAUAGAUGUAACAACCCCGUAUAUUUUCCCAGUUGUUAAAGCUCGUUUAAGCAUGUUAAGGGGAGUUUAACACUUAAAAAUUUGGCUCAAGUGUUGGAACUUUUCCAUUCCAUAAGCCUUCGAAAUUUUGACGAAUUAUUUUGUGACCUUUCCAACCUCCGAUUCUUGAUUUUCUUGUUGCGUUACGAUCGGGCCAGCUCAUAGUACAUCUCGGGUAAGUUUCGAAAUUUUUCGGAUAGCAUAUGAGGGUGUUUGGAUUUCAGAAACAGUAGCUCAGGGCGAUCUCAAGGCGCCGCCCAGCUUUCAGCACCGCUUUAGCCAAGGCUCCGCCCUGGUCUUAGCACCGCUAUAGCAAGGCGCCGCCUUGGUUAGAGCACUGCUCAAGCCAAGGCGUCGCCCAGGCUAUAGCCUUGGGCCAAAAACUGCCUUCAGCCUCCGUGGCUACAAGGGCAAAAUUGUCAAUUUCCAACCCCUUUAUAUACUCUUUUAACACGAGAUUCAGCAUAAAUUUACCCAAAAAUACUAGUUUCUCUGAAUUUUCCUCAAGAACAAAUAUUAGGGUUCAUAGUUCAAGACCCAGAUCAUCAAGAUUUCUCCGUUAAUCUUUCGAGAAUCAUAUAACAAAGUAUGUUAGAUGUUGAUUCUUGGGUUCCUUCCAUCAGAAGUUCAAGAAUCCUCUUUAAAGUUCAAAGAUUAUAUUUUUAUGAGUUCUCAUGAUCUAUGUGCAUAGAAGUUGAAGUUCAUGUUAUUGAUAAGUUUUGAUUCAUGUUUUGAUCAUAAAGAUUCAAGCUUUGACCCUAGUAUGUGUUGACUAUGUGAUGUUCAUGAUAAAGUCCCUUCAAGAAGCAUGUUGAAUUAUGUAAUCAUGUUAAUUAGGUGUGUUCAAUGUUGUAUGACCAAAUUGUGUCUCCCAUAUGUUUGAUAGAAUGCUUAUGUGAAGAAAAUAGUACCAUUGUAGCAUGUUAAGUAUGAAAACCCCUAUUAUGUGCCAACUAGUGCAUGCCAAGUGCUUGUUGAAAUGCCUUAGUAAUGUAUUAUGAUAAGUUGCAUGCAUUCUUAUCCAUGUGUAUUCCUUAUUGAACAACUAUGAGAUAUUGGUAUGCAUUUCCUGUACAUUUACAUGUUUACGACAUUCAAGUGAUUGACGAGAUAUAGUAUUGAUUGUGUUGUGAAUGAAAGUCCAUUGUCAUGAUAUUCAAGUAUGGUCCUGUCUUAUUUAAUUAUGCUAUCGAGUCCUGGGGUAUCUAAUACCCGAAAUUUAGCUGCUUGUCUAGAGCCGAGUCAGUCUCAAGAUAAUCUCAGUCGUGCUAUGAUCAGUAGAACUUAGACAGUUACAGAACUUAAGGAAACUCAAUGAUCUCAGUAUUAGUGCAAUCCAGUCUCAGUAUCUCUCUAAUCCGACUCAGUAUUCAGUUCCGACUCAAUCUUAUUCAGAAGUAUUCAGUACUUAGUAAAACUUAGUAGUAUUCAGCAUUCAGUUCAGACUUCAGUAAGACUCAGUAAGCCAUCAAGCAUUCAAUAGCAUUCAAGCAGAUAGCAGAAUCCAAGUAGCAUUCCGUCAGAUAACGGAACCAAGUAAGCUCAGUCAGAUCAGUCAAGUAUAUGAUCAAUAACAGAUUCAGCUCAGUUUAAGUACAGUUAAGAAUCAGUAUUCAGUGUCUUUUAGUUGGGAGUAGGAACUAGCACCGAGCGAGUGCAAGGAUGACGGCUUCCCCCUUAGAGAGGUAGAGUCGUUAGUAGCAGUCCAUGAACUCCAGAACUGCAUAGCCAGCGCAGGACCAGGAGUCACCCGUUAGAUUAAGGCUUGACUAUCAUGCUGCCUUAGGCUUGACUUCCUGUUCAGGGUCACCCGUUAGAGAGGCUUGAUCAUAGUAGAGUUCUUUACCCGUGGCACGGUAUUGACACCCUUCUAGCUGGGGUUACAGGUUGGACCCCACUAGUUCAGAUUCGGGGCAUGUCGGUUAAGUGAGAACUCCCACAGUCACAGAUAUAGUUCAGUUUCAUUCUUCAGAGCAGAACUCAGAAAUCAAGACACCAAUCACUCAGCUCAGUAAGGAACUUAGAUAGUUCCAUAGAUUCAUAGACCACCCGUAGGCCUGGUCUCACAUAAAGUAAAUCAGUAUUAGUGUUUUCGGUAGAUUCAGAGAUCACCCAUUAGAUAGGCCUGAUCUCAAACUUAGUUAAUCAUUAUCAUUAUUAGAAGAUUCAGAGGUCACCCGCUAGAUAGGCCUGAUCUCAUAUGUAAUUAUUCCUUAUCAUUACUAGUAGAUUCAGAGAUCUUCUGCUAGAUAGAUUUGAUCUCAGAUUCAGUCAGUCGAUAUUAGCAAGCUCAGAACUCAGUUAUCUAUAUCAGUAGAUUUAGUUAUUCAGUAUCCCAGAGUUGGUGAAACUCAGAUAUCAGUAAUAGUAGAAUCUGUCAUCAGUAAGUCAAUAUUUGGAAACCAGUAUUCAGAGUUCGUAUUCAGUGUUACUACGAUUUCAGACAUAGUUUGUGCAUUCAUGCAUAUAUAUACUCAUCCAGUACUCUCAUGGUAUUCAGUUAAGUAAUGUUCAUGCAUAAGCCCUUGCAUGUAGCCUUACCUCAUUUAGCAUACCAGUACAUUCAAAGUACUGACUCAUACUUAUCGCGCUGUGGUGUCUUAUACCAUAGGUUCAGAAGCACGAGAUCCAGAGCGUCAGUAGCAUUCCAGACUCAGCCAGUAGCAGUAGACACAGCAGUGAGUCCUCGUCAUUCGAGGAUAACAUGAUUUCUUUAUCAUUAUAUUAUUUCAGUUCAUUAGCAGUAGAUGGAGUUAGUUGGAGACAUGUUCCUUCAACUCCACAGUUCAAAUAGUUAGAGGCUUUUCGGACACAUGUAUUAGUGUUCAGUUUUCAGUUUUGAAUAUUUUAGAUGUUUUGAACCUUAUGGUAAGUUUUCGCCAGUUUCCGCAUUUAUUAUUUAUAAUAUGCAGUGCUCAGGUACAGAUAUCAGAAGAGGGUUAGCUUAUGGUCCUUCGGGAUCAUGAGCACCGUGUGACAUUCUGGUUCUAGAAAAAAAUCGGGGCGUUACAGUAGAGUGUACGCAGUCCUUACCUCUACCCUAUAUGUGAGGUCGAGAGGCUGUUUCCGAUAAACCCUCGUCUCAAGACAAAAACAGUCUAGAAAAAGACUUAAUUGAUGUAGAAGAGACAAUAGGUAGUUAAAAAACACCAGAUAGUAGCAGAGUAAUACUACAAUUGAACUGCACGAAACAACAUAUAACAUAACUUGGAAUAUUUAGUACACAUUUCGACAAACAAAUGCCAAACAAUACAACAUAUACAAAUGCAUGAGAGUUUCCAUCAAAUAUAGGAAAUAGAAGUUAUUUUUGAGGUUUAUAAGUUAAUUUAAUUUUUCUUCUAAAUAGGCCCUUCUUUGAUUGUUGAAAUUUCAUAUGUUCAUAGGAUUUUUGCAAAGUAUGAAACUUUUUUCUUAUUUUUAAUUAUCCUGUCAUUUCUGUAGCUUUUUUUUCUGAAAAAAAAAAAAACUAUUUUUCUGCUUAGUUAUAUCAAUAGCGCUGGUGUUGGUGGACCAAUACCAUUGACGUUCGCAAAACUGCAGAGCUUGGAUACGGUGUAAGAGCUUUCUGUCACAUACUCCGUCUCUGGCUUCUCAAUUUUUUACUUGGACAAAUUUGUGUAGUAAAUCUCACUGGAAACUUAACUAUUCACGCUUUCAGGUGGGCUUCAGAUAAUGCUUUUACAGGGAGGAUUCCUGAUUUCAUUGGAAAUAAUUGGUCAAAUGUUACCGUACUGUUAGACAACAGUUACUUGAACUAUGUCUAGUUUGUUAUUCUCUAAUUCUUUCAAGAAUGGUGUCUUACUUUUACGUGCGGCAUUGGUAUAAUGCCUUUACUGCAUCUACUCUCUAGCAUAGUCUGUGUCUGAUCUUUCUAUUGCCACAGGAGGUUCGAAGGAAAUGCUUUUGAGGGUCCAAUACCAACUUCCUUUUCCAAUUUAACUUCCUUGACCGACCUGUGAGUUUUAGCGACUCUUUUAUCAUUUGUUCAUAGUUUAGAAUCCACUCUGCUAAUUUAGCAGAACCUGAUAAUUCAUUAUCUGCAUAACUCACAGGAGAAUAAGUGAUCUAUCAAAUGGGAGCUCUUCAUUAGACUUCCUCAGGAAUAUGAAGUCUCUAAGCAAGCUGUAAGGAACAUGACAUAGCACCACAUGCUACAAAGUUCGACAUUUUAGUUCUUCUCUUCUUCUCUGACACAACUAAAUUUGAUCUUUUCAGGGUUUUACGAAAUAACAAUAUUUCAGGUCCCAUCCCAAGUAACAUCGGAGAAUAUCAGAGCCUGUCACUACUGUGAGUUCCUACCGUAGUUCAAAUUAUCUCACUUAUUUGACCAUGUUUGGAUAUGUGAGCAUAAACAUCUACCAGUGUCGUGCUGCUAUAUUCAACUCAAGUUCACUUGGAAGAUGUUGAACACUCACUGAUCAAUUACUACUCCUUUGGUCUAACAUCUAUUUUCUUGUUUUCUCAGGGAUUUGAGCUUCAACAAUUUGACCGGACGUGUUCCAGAUUCACUUUUCAAUCUGACUUUGAUGACUCACCUGUAAUGAUCCACUGUUUGCUCAUCUUUGAUAUCACCUUAACAUUGUCUUCAUGAUCUUAUUCCUUUUCAAUCAUCAGGUUUCUUGGUGAUAACAAGUUAACAGGCACCCUGCCAGCUCAGAAGAAACAGUCUCUCCAGACUAUGUGAGUAACUCUUGGUUAUAAGUUAUUUCAGCAUCUUCCUUACUGACACUUCGAAGCCUUACUGGGUAAUAUAUGAUAGGAUAAUACCAGAGGGUUCACUAGAUUGGUUCAUAAUAUCUAUCAUGUAAUUGAGUGUAUAGUUGAAGCUUGUUAUCAGAUCAAAUAGUCAAAUAUAUAUUUUUAUCUUAUGGCUUUCAGCUGGCGUGCAUCCUGGAAUUGCAAGAUAUGCCAUAGAAAAGCCUUCUUGAACUGACGCUGCAAUUUCAUGUUGCUGGAGCAAAGUCUAAAUGACUAAAUUUCUAUUGAUCUUUUUGUCCGUCUUUCUAGAUCCUGCAAUCUCUCUCUAUCAUAUAAAUGCUUGACAUUUUCUACAUUUUGCGCACAAAAACAUCUGAAAUGUUUAGUAGUUGUUGUGUAGCUUAACAUCCCAUCUUUUCAUGUAGAGAUUUAUCAUACAAUGAGUUAUCUGGAAGUUUCCCUUCAUGGAUUAAUGAGCCAAAUCUGCAAUUGUACGUAUGCGAAAAGCUUAAAUUUAUAUAAUGCUUUGCCUACUCUUAUUCUCCCUACCUUUUGGUCCCAGUUUUGACCGUGUUCAGCAUGCUUACACUGAUACGUGACAACUUGCAGAAAUUUAGUUGGCAACAACUUCACAAGAGAACAAAUUGAACAAUCAGAUAGCAGGUAAUCAGAAAUUUAGUUGACAACAACUUUGCAAUUAUAAUUGUCUCUUAGACGGGUGGCUACUUUGUUUUCAGUUCUCUGCCUUCAGGGUUAGAUUGUCUUCAACGGAAUUUUCCUUGCAAUCGAGGAUCCCCAAGAUGUAAGUGCUUCAUACAAUUCCUUGACAACAAAAAUCCCACACCAAGUUUCAUGGUUUCAUUAGUAUGAUUAAGUUUGAAAAUAUUUUGUCCUACAUUUUCUGUCUAUAAACAACACUAUUAGAAUGGUCUUUAGUUGAAUUCGUGAAUUUAAGGUAAUGUACCUAAAUCUGUAAUAUCUGCCUACAUUUUCUGUUCUUAUGAUAUGUCAUUUACCAACAAACAAGAAGGUCACCUGCUACUCUAUUCUAUUGCUAGUGUUCUAAUAUAAAACUGUGUACUGGUUUCUUAUCUUGUCGUGCAUCGGACUUUUCAUAAUUCACAGAUUCCAGCUUUGCAAUUAAAUGCGGAGGACCUCCGAUAAGAUCUAGUGAUCAGACAUCAUAUGAGAGGGAUAGUGAGGCUUUGGGUCCCGCAACAUAUUUCAUGACUAGUACGGGGAGGUGGGCUGUUAGUAAUGCUGGUCUGCGUUCUGACUGUCCAAAUCAGAGCUUCACAAGCUUCACUUCAUUUCAGAUUACAAACACUUUGGACUCAAAAGCUUUUCCAAACUGCACGAAUUUCUGCUGGAUCACUUAGAUACUAUGGCUUGGGCCUUGAGAAUGGUAAUUACACUGUGACCCUUCAGUUCGCUGAGUUCGAAAUCUUAAAUCCCCCAACUUGGCCUAGUGUUGGAAGACGUGUAUUUGAUGUAUAUGUACAGGUAUGCAUUAUAUUGUCUUCCAGAUAUGUUGUCUUUCUGUCAUUUACCAUUUAUCAAAAUGUAAAAAAUCUCAACCUUAUUUCACUGCUUUGAGCCAUUUAAUACUGCUCACAACAAAUUUAUUUAGUAGAAAUAACCUUUUUCUCCUUUCCUGCAUUUGCAUCAUAAUUGACUUAAUAAUUGGUUAUCUUUUCCAGGGAAUUCGGGAGUUGAAAGAUUUUGACAUUAAGAGGGAGGCUGGGGGAUGGUCCCUCACAGCUGUUCAAAGGCAAUUUAAAGCUCGGGUUUCUGAAAAUUAUCUCGAGAUACAUCUCUUCUGGGCCGGAAAAGGGACCUGCUGUGUACCUAUACAAGGCACAUAUGGACCUUCCAUCUCAGCAAUCAGUGCAACCCCAGGUAUCCAUCAAGUACAGACAGCCCAAAGUAAAGUACAUUCUUAAAUGUAGGCAUUCAAAACUGUAUUGAGACUGCUAAGCUUUUCCGCAGAUUUUGUUCCCACUGUUAGCAACCAGCUUCCUUCUACGAAAAAGAACCGCACCUGUCUGAUUGUGGGUAUUGUUGUUGGAGUUGGAGUCAUAAGCUUGGUUUCAUUGUUUGCUGUCUAUUACCUAAUUCAGAAAAGAAAACACCAGAAGGCUUUGGAGGAUGAAAGUAAGAAACGCAGACUGAUCUCAUAUGGUUCUUCUGUAAUAACAUAUAAUGUAUGCACUAGCAUGUAAGUCCCAGAAAUUGAUUCAUUUGGCAUAUUAAGGACACUUCCUCUCAAAUUUACAGAGUUCAUGAGGAUAGAUACCAGACCCUACACUUUCAGCUAUUCAGAACUUCGAGCUGCGACUGGUGACUUCUUUUCUUCUAAUAAGCUAGGCGAGGGAGGUUUUGGACCGGUUUACAAGGCAAUUUAUUUCUUCCACAUGAAGUCCUGAAGUAACUAGUGCUUCCCAUAUUGCAAUUCUCGUUGCACCUAUAGCUCACAUGUCUCCCGAACAUCAAGAGAUGUUUCAUGCCAAAUACUAGUGCUUUCUUGUUUGCUUUUGUUUUGCUAUGAAAUAUGGCAAAAAGGAAAUGAUUUUAUUGAAAUCGUCUAACGUUGAACCAAUUUUUUGUGGUCCAUAGGGAACACUUAUGGGAGGGUUGUUGCUGUUAAACAACUGUCUGUGGCAUCACAUCAAGGAAAGAGUCAGUUUGUGUCAGAGAUUGCCACUAUAUCUGCUGUACAACAUCGUAAUCUUGUGAAACUCUAUGGUUGCUGCAUCGAGGGAGAUAGACGAUUACUUGUUUAUGAGUAUCUUGAAAACAAGAGUCGUGAUCAAGCAUUAUUUGGUACUAAUGAAUACACUAUCUUGGAAUUUCUGGCUUUCCUCAUACAAGAGAAGAACGAAACUCUCUUCACAUUUAUAGAAUGAUUAUUGAGAUUUUGGCUUCAAUUGUGCAGAAAAAGGAUCUCUAUAUCUUGACUGGCCAACACGCUUCCAGAUAUGCUUGGGAGUGGCAAAGGGUCUGGCGUAUCUUCACGAGGAAUCUCGAGUCCGCAUUGUCCAUCGAGAUGUCAAGGCCAGUAAUAUUCUGCUUGAUGCAGACCUAAACCCUAAAAUUUCAGAUUUCGGAUUGGCAAAACUUUACGAUGACAAACAGACUCAUAUAAACACUCGUGUUGCAGGCACAAU